UAUUAAAGCAUGUUUGAGCAAGCCUGCAAUACAAGAACAAGGCCUGUCAGCAUAGUCUCUAACCCGAGGAAUCACAAUAGACCACAAAGUAUAUUAGAAGGAAAAGAAACACAUAUAAAGAUGUGACUUUCUUCAUAAUCUCUAACCAGAGGAAUCACAAAUGGCCCGGGGAAAUGAAUAUUAACAGAACACCACCUAAGUCAUAUGUUAUCAAAGUUUAAACUCUACAUAACAGCUGAAUACAUAUGCACAGAACUCGAGAAUUCCUCAUAGAAAGAUUUUAGAUUUCCUCCUCAAGAUAAACAAUUCAGGCAGCCUAAGGAUUUUCGACAUAUCAGCAGUCUCAAACUUAUACUCCUCUAGCUUAUAUAUAUCACUAUUUGAAAAUAAGUGAAGCCCUAAACAAUGUGAUCAAAACAAAAUUAAACCAGAUAAGCAAUCACAAGUGAAAAUCGAAUUUCAUAACGAAAGAUAAACCAAAUGGGUGUUUGAUUCAGUACUUGUUAAAGAGUUCCACGCG